rnacentral:sRNA from 1 species
CAACUUCGAUUUGUUGGGGACAGAUGAAGUGAAUGUGAGCGUCAAUGCCUCCCGCCGUGAGAAUCAUGCCUUCUCCGGCAACGGCUUCGGUAGCGGGUCCGAUAAUAAUAUUAACGUUAUCCUGAAUAUAGGGAUUGCCUGCUUUCCCUAUCUUGUAAAUUUUACCGUCUUUGAUCCCGACAUCGGCUUUAACAAUUCCCCACCAGUCGAGAAUGAGAGCAUUCGUAAUCACCAUAUCGACUGCGCCAUCGUCGCGGGAAAUCGGAGAUUGUCCCAUGCCAUCGCGG